CUACGUGCCAGCAGCCGCGGUAAUACGGAGGGUGCGAGCGUUAAUCGGAAUAACUGGGCGUAAAGGGCACGCAGGCGGUGACUUAAGUGAGGUGUGAAAGCCCCGGGCUUAACCUGGGAAUUGCAUUUCAUACUGGGUCGCUAGAGUACUUUAGGGAGGGGUAGAAUUCCACGUGUAGCGGUGAAAUGCGUAGAGAUGUGGAGGAAUACCGAAGGCGAAGGCAGCCCCUUGGGAAUGUACUGACGCUCAUGUGCGAAAGCGUGGGGAGCAAACAGGAUUAGAUACCCUGGUAGUCCACGCUGUAAACGAUGUCGAUUUGGGGGUUGAACUUUAAGUUUGGCGCCCGUAGCUAACGUGAUAAAUCGACCGCCUGGGGAGUACGGCCGCAAGGUUAAAACUCAAAUGAAUUGACGGGGGCCCGCACAAGCGGUGGAGCAUGUGGUUUAAUUCGAUGCAACGCGAAGAACCUUACCUACUCUU
rnacentral:rRNA from 1 species